GUGGUGCCGCUUCCUGUCCCCCUAGCCGGGCCGCUUCUCGCUGUUGUCCCGGGACGCGGUUGAGCCUCGGACCCCUAGACGUCCUUGGCAGAACCCCGACCCCAUGCAAUCCCGCCUUCUGCUCCUCGGAGCGCCUGGCGGCCGCGGGGCCUCAGCCUCCCGGCGCGUGCGACUGCUCCUGCGGCAGGUGGUGCGGGGCAGGCCGGGCAGCGAUGGGCAGCGGCCGGAGGUCAGACUACUGCACGCUGGGGCGGGGGCAGACACAGGUGAUACUGUUAAUAUUGGAGAUGUAUCCUACAAAUUGAGAACUCCUAAGAACCCAGAACUUGUUCCACAGAACUACAUUUCAGUCUCUCCAACUCAAUCUGUAGUUCAGCAUCUAAGAUGGAUAAUGCAGAAGGAUCUUUUGGGGCAAGAUGUCUUUCUAAUAGGACCGCCUGGACCUCUUCGACGCUCUAUUGCCAUGCAAUACUUGGAACUGACCAAACGGGAGGUUGAAUACAUUGCCUUGUCAAGGGACACCACUGAAACUGAUCUCAAACAGCGAAGAGAGAUCCGUGCAGGCACGGCUUUUUACAUUGAUCAGUGUGCAGUUCGUGCUGCCACAGAAGGCAGAAUUCUCAUUUUGGAAGGCUUGGAAAAGGCGGAGAGGAACGUUCUGCCUGUAUUGAACAACUUACUGGAAAACAGGGAGAUGCAACUUGAAGAUGGACGUUUCCUGAUGUCUGCCGAGCAUUAUGACAAACUUCUGCAAGAGCAUUCUAAAGCAGAGUUGGAUGCUUGGAAGAUUGUCCGAGUUAGUGAAAAUUUCCGAGUGAUUGCCUUGGGCUUGCCAGUACCCAGAUACUCUGGGAAUCCAUUAGACCCCCCUCUUCGUUCUCGAUUUCAAGCCAGAGAUAUUUAUUUUCUGCCUUUCAAGGAUCAACUUAAUGUAUUAUAUUCAGUUGGAGCCAAUGUUUCAGCAGAGAAAGUUUCUCAGCUUUUGUCUUUUGCCACAACUCUCUGUUCCCAAGAAUCUUCUACUCUUGGACUUCCAGAUUUUCCUUUAGAUAGUUUACCAGCUGCAGUUCAAAUCCUGGAUUCCUUUCCUAUGAUGUCAAUUAAACACGCAAUCCAGUGGCUUUAUCCAUACACUAUUUUAUUAGGACAUGAAGGGAAGAUGGCUGUUGAAGGUGUUUUAAAACGUUUUGAACUCCAAGAUUCAGGAAGCUCUCUGCUUCCUACAGAGGUUGUUAAAGUGGAGAGAGUGAUGGAAAACCAUGUCUCCCGUGCUUAUGUGACUAUCCAAAUUGCAGGACAAGAGGUGACCAUUAAGGUACCAGCUGGGACCAGACCAUUUGGUCAACCUUGUGCAUCAGACCAAUUUAUACAGACUUUAAGUCAUAAGCAGCUACUGGCUCAAAUGAUGCAAUCUCAUAUAGUUAAGGACAUAUGUUUAAUUGGGGGAAAGGGUUGUGGAAAAACAGUCAUUGCCAAGAACUUUGCUGAUACCUUAGGAUACAAUAUUGAACCUAUUAUGCUCUAUCAGGAUAUGACGGCCCGUGAUCUGCUCCAGCAGAGAUACACUCUUCCAAAUGGAGACACUGCCUGGAGGUCCUCACCCCUUGUGAAUGCUGCUCUGGAAGGCAAGCUGGUCUUAUUGGAUGGCAUUCACCGGGUCAAUGCUGGCACACUUGCUGUAUUGCAGAGGUUGAUCCAUGACCGAGAGCUAAGCCUCUACGAUGGUUCUAGGCUACUAAGGGAAGACAGGUAUAUGCGUUUGAAACAAGAGCUGCAAAUGUCUGAUGAACAGCUGCAGAAGAGAUCCAUUUUUCCUAUCCACCCUUCCUUCAGAAUCAUCGCCUUGGCAGAACCCCCUGUUAUUGGAAGCGCAACACAGCAGUGGCUGGGACCAGAAUUCUUAACCAUGUUCUUUUUUCAUUAUAUGAAACCCCUUGUCAAAAGUGAAGAAAUCCAAGUUAUUAAGGAAAUGGUUCCAAAUGUUCCUCAGGAAGCCUUGAAUAAAUUGUUAUCGUUUACACACAAACUCAGAGAUACCCAGGAUCCAACAGCACAAUCCUUGGCAGCAUCACUUUCUACUCGACAGCUGUUGCGGAUAUCUCGUCGGCUGUCACAGUAUCCUAAUGAAAAUCUUCAUAGUGCUAUUACUAAAGCCUGUCUUUCCAGGUUCUUACCAAGCCUUGCAAGGUCAGCUUUAGAGAAAAAUCUGGCAGAUGCUGCAAUAGAAAUAACUACUGAUGAUAAUCUGGAACCAGCCCUGGAGGAUUACAAAUGUGAAGUGGUAUCUGGAUCACUGAGGAUUGGUACUGUUAGUGCACCAAUAUAUAAUGCACAUGAGAAAAUGAAAGUGCCAGAUGUUCUUUUCUAUGACAACAUUCAGCACAUGAUAGUGAUGGAAGACAUGCUCAAAGACUUUCUCCUUGGAGAACACUUAUUAUUGGUUGGCAACCAGGGUGUAGGAAAAAACAAGAUUGUUGACAGAUUUCUUCACCUGCUCAACAGACCACGAGAAUAUAUCCAACUUCACAGGGACACCACAGUACAAACGCUAACUCUUCAGCCUUCAGUUAAAGAUGGACUGAUUGUGUAUGAAGACUCACCUUUGGUAAAAGCAGUAAAGUUGGGUCAUGUUCUGGUAGUAGAUGAAGCAGACAAAGCCCCAACAAAUGUCACAUGUAUUUUGAAAACUCUAGUAGAAAAUGGAGAAAUGAUUCUAGCAGAUGGAAGACGAAUUGUGGCAAAUUCUGCCAACGUGGAUGGACGAGAAAAUGUUAUAGUGAUUCAUCCUGAUUUUAGGAUGAUUGUUCUAGCCAACAGACCUGGAUUUCCUUUCUUAGGCAAUGAUUUCUUUGGCACCUUAGGUGACAUUUUUAGCUGCCAUGCAGUUGACAACCCCAAGCCUCACUCAGAACUUGAGAUGCUCAAACAGUAUGGACCAAACGUGCCUGAGCCCAUCCUUCAGAAGCUUGUGGCUGCCUUUGGGGAGCUUAGGAAUUUGGCUGACCAGGGCAUUAUUAGCUAUCCUUAUUCCACCAGGGAAGUAGUAAACAUCGUCAAACACUUACAGAAAUUCCCCACUGAAGGUCUCUCCAGUGUGGUUCGGAACGUGUUUGACUUUGACUCCUACAACAAUGACAUGAGGGAGAUUUUGAUUAACACUUUACACAAAUAUGGGAUACCUAUUGGAGCAAACCCUACCAAUGUGCAGCUGGCAAAGGAGUUGCCUCUGCCAGAGCAGACAUUCAUGGGCUACUGGACGAUUGGUCAGGCAAGAAAUGGAAUGCAAAAACUCUUGUGUCCAGCAGAAACUCAUCAUAUAGACAUAAAGGGUCCAGUGUUUAUGAACAUACAGAAGUAUCCAAUAGAAAGACAUGAAAAGAGAUCCCUAAACUUUACUGAAGAAUGUGCCUCCUGGAGGUUACCAUUGGAUGAAAUUAAUUUAAUUUGUGACAUUGCUACAUCAAAUGAAAAUGAGGAAAAUACUCUGUAUGUAGCUACAUGCAACCCUGUUUCCUUAUACUUUAUGAAUAUGACUGGGGAAAGUUGCUUCUUUGUGGACUUUUAUGACAUCUUUCCAAGAACUGCCGGUGGAGUUUGGCACCCAUUUGUGACAGUGGCACCACUGGGAAGUCCUCUCAAGGGUCAAGUUAUCCUCCAUGAGGAACAGAGUAAUGUUAUCCUCUUGUUAGAUACUGCUGGCCAAGUCCUUCGUCGUCUCAUUCUUCCUUUAGAAGAGGUGGCAUCUAAGAAAUCUUCCUGGUGGGGCAAGGAGGAAGAAGAAACUUAUAAAAUGUGUAAAGAAUUUUCACACAAAAACUGGCUAGUAUUCUACAAAGAAAAAGGGAACAGGUUGACUGUACUAGAUGUUUUGGAAGGACGAGCUCACACCAUCUCGCUUCCCAUCAACCUCGAGACAGUUUUCCUUGUAGCAGAGGACAAAUGGCUUCUGGUGGAAAGCAAAACAAAUCAAAAAUAUCUUUUAACUAAGCCUGCACACAUCGAAUCUGAGAACAGUGGGGUUUGCCAGUUAUAUAUGUUGAAAGAGGAGCUGCCUAGCACAGGGUUUGGAGUCACACAAGAAAUAGAGGUCAGCAUACCUCAUAAAAUUUCAAGUGAUCAGCUGUCAUCUGAAAAUCUGAGUUCAGCUGUGGGACAAAAGAUCGCCUCUCCCAACAGAAUUUUCUCAGAUGAGAACAGUUAUGCUGCCAUAGUGGUUGGCUUCCCAGAUCUCAUGUCACCCAGUGAAGUUUAUUCUUGGAAGAGGCCAUCUUCUAUGCAUAAACCAAGUGUCACUGAUACAGCAUUUUACGGAGGAAAGAAGAAGAAGGGGACUCCAAGACAGAGCAAUUGUGUGACUCUUUUAGCUACUAAUCAGGUAGUCAGGAUUCUGCCCCCAGGAGAAGUCCCUCUAAAAGACAUCUACCCAAAAGGUGUUACGCCCCCAAAGACAGCUGGUUACAUAGAAGUCACUGAUCUCCAAUCAAAAAAACUCCGAUAUAUCCCUAUUCCAAGAUCAGAAUCUCUCUCACCAUAUACCACAUGGCUGUCUACUAUUUCAGACACAGAUGCACUGCUGACAGAGUGGGACAAAAGUGGCAUUGUUACUGUUGAUAUGGGAGGUCACAUCAGGCUUUGGGAAACUGGACUUGAACGUUUGCAGCGAUCACUUAUGGAAUGGAGAAACAUGAUUGGGCAAGAAGGCGACAGAUAUAUGCAGAUAACAAUCAACAGAGACAGUGGAGAAGAUGUGAGCUCCCCCAAACACGGGAAGGAGGACCCAGACAACAUGCCCCAUGUGGGUGGCAAUACUUGGGCUGGUGGAACAGGUGGAAGAGACACUGCAGGUCUGGGAGGAAAAGGAGGUCCUUAUCGGCUGGAUGCAGGUCACACAGUGUACCAGAUCUCCGAUGCUGAGAAGGACUCGGUUCCUGAAGAGGUCAAGAGAGCUGCAAGAGAGAUGGGCCAGAGAGCAUUUCAACAGAGGCUAAAGGAGAUCCAAAUGAGUGAAUAUGAUGCAGCAACCUAUGAAAGAUUUUCUGGUGCUGUUCGUCGGCAGGUGCAUUCCCUCCGAAUCAUCUUGGAUAAUUUACAGGCUAAAGGUAAAGAAAGGCAGUGGCUAAGACACCAAGCUACUGGGGAACUAGAUGAUGCCAAGAUCAUUGAUGGGCUGACUGGAGAAAAAGCCAUCUACAAACGUCGGGGUGAGCUGGAGCCACAACUGGGUAGCCCACAACAGAAACCUAAGCGUCUGCGCCUGGUGGUAGAUGUGUCUGGCAGCAUGUAUCGCUUCAAUGGGGUGGACGGCCGGCUUGAGCGCUCAAUGGAGGCUGUGUGUAUGGUCAUGGAAGCUUUUGAGAACUAUGAAGAGAAGUUCAAGUAUGACAUCGCUGGACACUCUGGAGAUGACUACAAUAUUGCACUAGUUUCAAUUAACAAAAUCCCCAAGGACAAUAAACAAAGACUAGAAAUUCUAAAGACAAUGCAUGCCCACUCUCAGUUCUGCAUGAGUGGGGACCACACGUUAAGGGGGACAGAACAUGCCAUCAAGGAAAUUGUCAAAGAAGAGGCUGAUGAGUACUUUGUCAUAGUCUUAAGUGAUGCAAAUCUGUCACGAUAUGGAAUACAGCCUGCCAAGUUUGCCCAAAUCCUUACAAGUGACCCUCAAGUAAAUGCUUUUGCCAUUUUUAUUGGGUCAUUAGGUGAUCAAGCAACCAGUAUUAUCAAAGCAGCAGCUGGGUAAAUCAGAUUGCAUUACACAUUGUGUGAAUGGAGCCAAAAAAGGAGAGGAUGGUGGGGAGAAAAUAGAACCACUCAAGAUUUGACUGGGCAAAGUUCUUGGAGUCCUGUUUUCUAGGAAGGCAAAGCAGUUAGACGAACAAUAUGAGGCCAACACAUUUGCUGAACCCAGGCUCCAGAGAACUUUACCAGCUGGCAGGUCUUUCAUUGCCAUGGAUACCAAAGACAUCCCUCAGAUUUUACAACAGAUCUUCACCUCCACCAUGUUGUCCAGUGUUUAAGAAAUACCAUCCACUACCAUAAUGACCCCAGGAUUUAAAACAAGAUAAGAAAAGGGAGUGUUCUGAAGAGAAGAAGACAUCUAUAAAGUGAACCCAUGCAAUGACUAGAUAAUUCUGGCAUUGCUUGGAUCUUCCUACAAUGCCUCCAUAAUCAGGAUUCAGAAAAGAAGCCAGAAGCAGAUUUGUGCCUGGAAAUCUCCAGCCACUGAUGGGUUUAGAAAUCAUCUGAGGAAGCAAGUUGACCUUCAUGUUAUACAAAGUCAUGGUUAAAGGAAAUUGACAUGAGAACUACAGUGCUUGGUCCGUUUCCAAAAUCUGAGGAGUAAAGUAUCCUUGCUUUUGCCUUAAGACAUUAUUUGUCCUCUAAGAUAAGAGAAGCAAACCCAUCACACUGAACCUCUGAGGCCAUGUUUUGAUAUCGGGAUCAAGCCAGUGCAAACCCCACUCAACAUGCUGCUGUCUAGUAAUUAUUUUUGUUUUCUCCCUACUCUGUAUUGCCCAGCAGACAACAGUUUUAUAGUAUUUAACCCACUGAAAAGACCUUCCAACAGCAGUAUUUAAUAAAAGGUUGGACUUUCUCAA